GAUGAACGCUAGCGGCAGGCUUAACACAUGCAAGUCGAGGGGUAGAGGCUUUCGGGCCUUGAGACCGGCGCACGGGUGCGUAACGCGUAUGCAAUCUGCCUUGUACUGGGGGAUAGCCCAGAGAAAUUUGGAUUAAUACCCCAUAGUAUUUUCGGUUGGCAUCAACUGAUUAUUAAAGUUUUUCGGUACAAGAUGAGCAUGCGUCCCAUUAGCUAGUUGGUAUGGUAACGGCAUACCAAGGCUACGAUGGGUAGGGGUCCUGAGAGGGAGGUCCCCCACACUGGUACUGAGACACGGACCAGACUCCUACGGGAGGCAGCAGGUAGGAAUAUUGGUCAAUGGUCGCAAGACUGAACCAGCCAUGCCGCGUGCAGGAUGAAGCAUCUAUGGUGUGUAAACUGCUUUUGUACGGGAAGAAACACUGCUACGUGUAGCAGCUUGACGGUACCGUAAGAAUAAGGAUCGGCUAACUCCGUGCCAGCAGCCGCCGUAAUAC
rnacentral:rRNA from 1 species